AUUGAACGCUGGCGGCAUGCCUUACACAUGCAAGUCGAACGGCAGCACGGGUGCUUGCACCUGGUGGCGAGUGGCGAACGGGUGAGUAAUACAUCGGAACAUGUCCUGUAGUGGGGGAUAGCCCGGCGAAAGCCGGAUUAAUACCGCAUACGAUCUACGGCUGAAAGCGGGGGCCCUUCGGGCCUCGCGCUAUCGGGUUGGCCGAUGGCUGAUUAGCUAGUUGGUGGGGUAAAGGCCUACCAAGGCGACGAUCAGUAGCUGGUCUGAGAGGACGACCAGCCACACUGGAACUGAGACACGGCCCAGACUCCUACGGGAGGCAGCAGUGGGGAAUUUUGGACAAAGGGCGAAAGCCUGAUCCAGCAAUGCCGCGUGUGUGAAGAAGGCCUUCGGGUUGUAAAGCACUUUUGUCCGGAAAGAAAUCCUUGGCCCUAAUACGGUCGGGGGAUGACGGUACCGGAAGAAUAAGCACCGGCUAACUACGUG
rnacentral:rRNA from 1 species